rnacentral:rRNA from 1 species
AUUGAACGCUGGCGGCAGGCCUAACACAUGCAAGUCGAACGGGUGGCGGACGGGUGAGUAAUGUCUGGGAAACUGCCUGAUGUAGGGGGAUAACUACUGGAAACGGUAGCUAAUACCGCAUACCAUCAGAUGUGCCCAGAUGGGAUUAGCUAGUUGGUGGGGUAACGGCUCACCACGGCGACGAUCCCUAGCUGGUCUGAGAGGAUGACCAGCCACACUGGGACUGAGACACGGUCCAGACUCCGACGGGAGGCAGCAGUGGGGAAUAUUGGACAAUGGGCGCAAGUCUGAUGCAGCCAUGCCGCGUGUGUGAAGAAGGUCUUCGGGUUGUAAAGUACUGUUGUCGGAGAAGCGUUAUCCGAAGAGGAAGCACCGGCUAACUCCGUGCCAGCAGCCGCGGUAAUAC